rnacentral:rRNA from 1 species
UACGUAUGGUGCAAGCGUUAUCCGGAUUUACUGGGUGUAAAGGGAGCGCAGGCGGUACGGCAAGUCUGAUGUGAAAGCCCGGGGCUCAACCCUGGUACUGCAUUGGAAACUGUCGGACUAGAGUGUCGGAGGGGUAAGUGGAAUUCCUAGUGUAGCGGUGAAAUGCGUAGAUAUUAGGAGGAACACCAGUGGCGAAGGCGGCUUACUGGACGAUUACUGACGCUGAGGCUCGAAAGCGUGGGGAGCAAACAGG